rnacentral:rRNA from 1 species
UGGUGCCGAUGCGCUUAGGGGAGACACCCGUUCCCAUCCCGAACACGAUGGUUAAGACUUAAGCGGCCGAUGGUACUAUGCUGGAAAC